rnacentral:rRNA from 1 species
GUCUAUGUCCAUGCUACCCUGAACAGAUGAUUCCAUCUGAUCUCAGAAGCUAACCAGGGUUGGGCGUGGUUUGUACUUGGAUGGGAGACCACCUAGAAAGACCAGGUCCUGUAGGUG